AUUCACCUCACUUCAUCUUAUCAUAUAGGCAUUUCAUCUCACAUCAUCACGAAAAGAAGGCAUCCUUCAGGUGGUCUUAUUUAAGGGAAGUAAACAUUUCCUGAGGACCUGACAUGUGUCAGACAUGGGACUAACAUGGAUUGAUUUCACAGAAGAAAUAUGUGGUUCCUGCUUUUAAGAAAUUUGCAGAAACAGAACGAAAGCAUGGGACUAACUGAAGAGAAGACAAGAAAAGAAGAGGAAAUGAGAGGACUUCAAGAAGCUUCUGGGCAAGAUUUAGAUGACCUGAUGUAACCAAAUGAAUCAUUCAGGUUAAGCUAAGUUAUGUAGAGAUAACAAACACUAUGAACACACCAAGAAGAGUUUUUUUUUUCACUUAUGUCAUGCGCAUCAAAGCCAGGGGCACAUUUUCUUUGUCCAUCCUGCAGGACCCAGGCAGAAAAGUCUGUUUUGUCCCUGCAGAAGGAAAAAGAGAAGGCUUUGAAGUUAGCAAAAUCUGCACUGAUCUUCAAGGCUCUUUUCUAUGGGUGACACCACGUAUAUCUUUUCCAAUGCCAGACACAUGGUCAAGAAUAAAUGUCAUCCAGUAGGAAAGGGCAAUCUUAUCCGAUGCCCAGAAAGAGAGAGAAUCAACUAUUUGUAGACUUCCUUAAUCACCACACAGCAAGAAAAAAAUGAAUGGAGCCUCCAAGUGAGAAAGCAUAUGCAUUAGAGGAAAAGAGGAGUGCAUUAUUUUCCAGUCAACUUUGGGGCCACUACAAACUGCCUCAAGUCAGGCAUUAUGUGAGGUUCCUCAUUUGUAACAGGGAAUGAGCUGCAGGCCUGG